rnacentral:rRNA from 1 species
UGGGGAGUAUUGCACAAUGGGCGCAAGCCUGAUGCAGCCAUGCCGCGUGUAUGAAGAAGGCCUUCGGGUUGUAAAGUACUUUCAGUCGGGAGGAAGGUGUCAAGGUUAAUAACCUUGGCAAUUGACGUUACCGACAGAAGAAGCACCGGCUAACUCCGUGCCAGCAGCCGCGGUAAUACGGAGGGUGCAAGCGUUAAUCGGAAUUACUGGGCGUAAAGCGCACGCAGGCGGUUGAUUGAGUCAGAUGUGAAAUCCCCGGGCUUAACCCGGGAAUUGCAUCUCAUACUGGUCAGCUAGAGUCUUGUAGAGGGGGGUAGAAUUCCAUGUGUAGCGGUGAAAUGCGUAGAGAUGUGGAGGAAUACCGGUGGCGAAGGCGGCCCCCUGGACAAAGACUGACGCUCAGGUGCGAAAGCGUGGGGAGCAAACAGG